UCCUUGAGUCAGAUCCCGAUCUCGACGAGUUCGCACUCGAACUCAUGUCUUCUCUUCUCGGUUAGGAUUUUCAACCGUUCACAUUUGUUCUCUUCCGAUUCUAUUUUCCGCUGCGUCGUCUCUCUGGAAGAAGCCUCGAGGACUCCAAUCGUGUCUGCAUCGCACCUGUCGGUCCUCUUCCUUAAGGCUUCUCGUAUCAAGUGGUAUUCAGAGCAUCAGGUUGUGUCCACGCGUC
rnacentral:lncRNA from 1 species